rnacentral:rRNA from 1 species
GUGAGGAAUAUUGGUCAAUGGACGCGAGUCUGAACCAGCCAAGUAGCGUGAAGGAUGACUGCCCUAUGGGUUGUAAACUUCUUUUAUAAGGGAAUAAAGUGAGGGACGUGUCCCUUUUUGUAUGUACCUUAUGAAUAAGGAUCGGCUAACUCCGUGCCAGCAGCCGCGGUAAUACGGAGGAUCCGAGCGUUAUCCGGAUUUAUUGGGUUUAAAGGGAGCGUAGGUUGACAUAUAAGUCAGCUGUGAAAGUUUACGGCUCAACCGUGAAAUUGCAGUUGAUACUGUAUGUCUUGAGUGUACAAGAGGUGGGCGGAAUUCGUGGUGUAGCGGUGAAAUGCUUAGAUAUCACGAAGAACUCCAAUUGCGAAGGCAGCUCACUGGGGUACAACUGACACUGAGGCUCGAAAGUGUGGGUAUCAAACAGGAUUAGAAACCCUGGUAGUCC